rnacentral:lncRNA from 1 species
CGGUGAAUCAUUCUGAACUGAACUCAUGGCGCUAAACACGUUCAUCCUCUGGAUCAGAGGUUUGGUGUGGAUGAGUGACACAUGUAUAUGGUGGUCGUCGUUCUGUACCAUUUUCUUCAGGCGACGAGGCAGAGUUCGCGGUGCUGGACGCCAUCGAGAGGGCCACGGGGUGCGUGCCGCUGGUGCACGUCGACGACCUCUGCCGCGCCGAGCUGUUCGUCGCCGAGGAGGUAUCUGCCGCGGGGAGGUACAUCUGCUGCAGCAUCAACACGACCAUCGCCGAGCUCGCGCGUUUCCUCGCGGACAAGUACCCGCAGUACGACGUGAAAACGAGCCUGCUGUAAGAAAGAACCGGCUUCGCAGCUCUGGAUUCUGAUGACAUUUUUGCACCGAUGACUGACUGAUGCCGUUUGGCCGCACUUUUGCAUGCAGCUCCGGCGAGCGGCUUGAGAAGCCGAGAGUGCGUCUGUCGUCCGAGAAGCUGGUGAAGGAAGGGUUCGAGUUCAGGUACAGAACGCUGGAUGACAUGUACGACGACAUGGUCGAGUAUGGCAAGACCCUGGGAAUCCUGCCCAGCUGAUAUGAGUACGUGAUGCUCCUCUAUUUCGGCCGGCGAUCAAGACUAGGGAGUCAGAACACUCCUGCAAAACAAAGCCAAUGCUUUUGCUGCUAGUGUGCUGAACCGUAGCAGUUGAGUCAGUUCGUAUAAGACUAGAAGAAUAUCCACACGCUGCCGCAGGACUUUUCUAGAAAUAAAUUUGUUAUAUGUAUAAUUUUACUAUACGGUACCCUGGGUAUUAUGUAUGUUGCUAAGAUUUGUUUAAGAUCUUACCUUGUUAAAAAGAGGGGCACAAUUAAAUGGAUAAAGCAUGGUGAUGCAGGUACCAGUUUCUUUCAUGCCAAUGCUGCUAUUAGGCACAGAGGAAACGUGAUUACUGAGCUAAUGACAAGGGAUGGGGCUCUUGUCAGUGGUCACAGUGAGAAAGGAGCAGUUCUUUGGGUUGAUUUCAAAUUUAGACUUGGCACCUCAGAAUUCUCGGGGUUCAAUGUUGACCCAACUUUUUUCAUUCAGAGUGUUGAAUAUCUGGACUCUUUAGAAGAACCUUUCAGUUAGACAAAAAAUGACAGUAUCAUCAAAGCCUUGCCAAAUCAAAAGUGACCAGGUCCAAAUGGGUUCAAUAAUGAGUUUUUAAAGAAAUCCUGGCCAGCGAUCAAACAUGACUUCUAUGAUCUGUGUGAUUCCUUCCAUAGCAAUUCAGUUUGCUUGAGGAGCAUAAACUCUUCCUAUAUCACCCUAAUCCCCAAAGUUGAUGGUGCAAGUUCUCUUGCAAAUUUCAGGCCCCAUUUCCCUGCUCAACUCCUCAUUCAAACUUGUCACCAAGCUGGUUGCAAAUAGACUACAGCCUUUAAUAACCUCCAUAGUGCACAAGAGUCAAUAUAGUUUCAUGAAGAAUAGAACAAUCUAGGAUUGUCUGGCUUAGGCUUUUGAGUAUUUACACCUCUGUCAUCACUCAAGGAAGGAAAUAGUCAUCAUCAAGUUAGAUUUUGAGAAAGCAUUUGACAAAAUUGAGCACCAGGCCAUGCUAAUUCCGAUGGAAGAAAAGGGCUUUGGGCAGAAGUGGUUAGAUUGGAUGAAGGCCAUCAUGUCUUCAGGGACCUCUGCUGUACUCCUAAAUGGGGUACCUGGAAAAACAUUUCACUGUAAAAAGGGUGUUAGAGAGGGGGAUCCCCUCUCCCCACUCAUUUUUGUCCUUGCAGCAGAUUUUUUGCAGUCAAUAAUUAACAAGGCAUCAUUCUCUUAUGCUAGACUAUUUGGGCAACAAGGAAUGAGCUCAUUUUUAAAUUAAAUAGUCUGAAUCUGACGGGUUGUCAUAGUAUCUUCUUUAGUGAGUUGAUUAUUCGGAAGAGAAUGAAGACGAAUUAGCAAGACCAAUUAUCUUUAUGGAUUCUGAGUCUACAAUAAACUGCUGGUUGGCUCUAAUUUUCUUUGUUUCUUUUUUUUAUCUUGAACUGGUUCUCUCUCUCCCCCCCCCCCUCCCUCUUUUCCUCUCCUUUAAGAAAUCACUGUAGGGGUCACGGCCCCUCCAGAUUCGUAAAAAAAAAAAAGACCAUGGAAGAGGUGGCAAAAGUUGAUCAAAGAGUAAGUUGAACCGACUUAAAACGUCCAUAGAGGCUACAAACAAUGAGUGUCAAUCUCGCUGUCCACGUUUGCCAUUACUCAGUCACUCACUCGCCAGUUGCCAACAGCCGACACGAAGGAACCACCAGGCCCACAGCCUUUUCUCGUAGAGCAGAUCUUGUCAGUUCUUCCUGAUGAAAAUUUUGCCCAACGAGCGAGUGAAUCAUCCUCUUUGAAGCCCGCUGUGACUUGUGAGGUGGCACAGCCGACGAGAUGUCUACCGGCAACAGGAAGAAGACGGCGUGCGUGACCGGAGGGAACGGGUACAUCGCCUCCGCGCUCAUCAAGAUGCUGCUAGAGAGAGGGUACGCCGUGAAGACGACGGUCAGGAAACCCGGUUCGAUUAUUUGACCUUCCCCUUUUGUAGUGAUGUGUUUAGUCUGUGAAAGUGCUUUAUUGUGAUGAUUCUGAAUCCCAGAUGACAUGGAGAAGAACUCCCACCUUAAGGACCUGCAGACUCUUGGAUCCUUGGAGAUCUUCCGCGCCGACUUGGAUGAAGAUGGCAGCUUUGACGACGCCGUCGCCGGCUGCGACUACGCCUUCCUAGUCGCCGCUCCAGUGAACCUCCACACGAAGAAUCCUGAGGUGAACAAAUGUCACAGCUACUCGAGUUCCAUCUCUCGUUUGUCUAGAGUUGCUGACAGCAUCUGCUCAUACUGUUCAUCAACGUUCAUCCCUUGCUCAAUAAUUGGCGGCAGAAAGAGCUGAUCGAGCCCGCUGUCAGGGGAACUCUGAACGUCAUGCGGUCGUGCGUGAAGGCCGGGACGGUGAGGCGCGUGGUCCUGACCUCGUCGGCGGCCUCGGUCUCCAGCAGGCCGCAGCUGCAGGGCGACGGGCUCGUGCUGGACGAGGACUCGUGGUCCGACGUCGAGUACCUCAGAGCCCACAAGCCUGCAGGGCCCUGGGUACGUUACGACGCACGUCGAUCAUGCAGCCCUUGCUCUCCUGCAUGCUGCAUGCUGCAACCAUUUGGCAUUUGGUGACGAUGAGAAGUUGGGGACGACGGCGCUGGAUUAAUUGUGCUUGCAGGGGUACCCGGUGUCGAAGGUGCUCCUGGAGAAGGAGGCGUACAGGUUCUCGGAGGAGCAUGGCAUCAGCCUCGUCACCGUCUGCCCCGUCCUCACCGUCGGCGCCGCGCCGGCCCCGACCGUGCGCACCAGCGUCCCAAACUGCCUCUCCCUUCUAUCCGGUGAAUCAUUCUGAACUGAACUCAUGGCGCUAAACACGUUCAUCCUCUGGAUCAGAGGUUUGGUGUGGAUGAGUGACACAUGUAUAUGGUGGUCGUCGUUCUGUACCAUUUUCUUCAGGCGACGAGGCAGAGUUCGCGGUGCUGGACGCAAUCGAGAGGGACGCCGGCUGCGUGCCGCUGGUGCACGUCGACGACCUCUGCCGCGCCGAGCUGUUCGUCGCCGAGGAGGACGCCGCCGCGGGGAGGUACAUCUGCUGCAGCC